UUCCAGGCAUAAGGAGUAUUGUCAGCUAUGACUCAAUACCCAUCAUCUGAAUAAAGAAGUUGAAGCUUGCCCUGCCCCGCGGAGCUGCUCUGUAGGUCUCACCAGUGCAUCCUUCCACCAUCCUGACCAGACUCCAGUUUCACUUCUGCCGUCUCAACAACUGUGUGGGCCCACCCUGCUGGCUAAGCAACCACCAAUAAGAAUCUGUGUUCAGCCUCCUCUUCUGCCCCAGAAUGGAGACUCUCUCCAAGAGUGAGUCUGAAGAGCUAAGGACUUUAGGGGCAGAGACACUCCCUCUCAGCCCUCAGGCCACUUGAGGACACGGAUCCCUUGGGGGCAUCAGGCCCAAAGGCUAUUCGAAAGUCAUAGCUAAACCAGGCGGGCCCUUGGCAACGCCUUCCUGGGCAGGAGUAAGCAUGACGUAAUUCAGAAAGACACUUGGGUUUAAGGCAACU
rnacentral:lncRNA from 1 species